rnacentral:rRNA from 1 species
UUGGAGGGCAAGUCUGGUGCCAGCAGCCGCGGUAAUUCCAGCUCCAAUAGCGUAUAUUAAAGUUGUUGCAGUUAAAAAGCUCGUAGUUGAAUUUCAGGAUUCAUCCGUUGGUCGGGCUUCACGGUCCGUACUGGUGUGAUGGGUUCCUACCUUCUGAAUAACCGGCAUGCCAUUAAUUUGGUGCGCCGGGGAAGCAGAACUAUUACCUUGAAAAAAUUAGAGUGCUUAAAGCAGGCAAGUGCCUGAAUAGGUUAGCAUGGAAUAAUAAAAUAGGACGGCAUGGUUCUAUUUUGUUGGUUUCUAGGAUCACCGUAAUGAUUAAUAGGGAUAGUUGGGGGCAUUAGUAUUCAAUUGUCAGAGGUGAAAUUCUUGGAUUUAUUGAAGACUAACUUCUGCGAAAGCAUUUGCCAAGGAUGUUUUCAUUAAUCAAGAACGAAAGUUAGGGGAUCGAAGACGAUCAGAUACCGUCGUAGUCUUAACCAUAAACUAUGCCGACUAGGGAUCGGACGAUGUUAAUUUUUUAAUGACUCGUUCGGCGCCUUACGGGAAAC